UACAGGGGGGGCAAGCGUUGUUCGGAAUUACUGGGCGUAAAGGGCCAGUAGGCGGCCAACUAAGUCCGACGUGAAAUCCCUAGGCUUAACCUAGGAACUGCGUCGGAUACUGGAUGGCUUGAAUUCGGGAGAGGGAUGCAGAAUUCCAGGUGUCAGCGGUGAAUGCGUAGAUAUCUGGAGGAAUACCGGUGGCGAAGGCGGCAUCCUGGACCGACACUGACGCUGAGGGCACGAAAGCGUGGGGAGCAAACAGG
rnacentral:rRNA from 1 species